GAAGAAUCUGAAGCCAGCCUUGUUGCUAAUUCGCCACAUGACCUGGCACUGUGACGUCACAGUGGCCGCUGUGUCCAUAGACAGUGGGGCGUUUUCAGCUCCAUUAUAAUCUUACGGGAUCGCCAUGCAGUCUGUCCUUGACCAAGACGUUACAUGGCACGUGACUGUAUGUGCCCACCUCAGGGCCGUCACACAGGCUGUUCCUGGCAUACUCCUGCUCCAGGUUCCACAUGCGGUGGAUCCAACCAGCGACAGAGCAAACACAUUCCAGAAAGGGCUGAGAGCACCCCUGAAGGGCAGCGGUGAGCCCCAGCCGGGGACCCACGACACAGAGGGCUUGGGAAAGCAGCCUGGCAGCCCGGCCAGCUAAGAGGCCAAGCGCAGGUACCGACCGAAACUGCUGCGCUCCGUCUUCACCAGCUUGUCCCGCCUCGCUUUCCCCAGGUCCUUGCUCGCUGAGUCAUUCUGAGGAUGAGAGGGGAACGCGCUACUCAAGCCCAGGCUGGUCCGAUGGCAGAAGCCGUAAAGGGACAGCCCAGAGUCAAGAGCUGGGCUGCUGUGUGGUUGACUCUUAGCUCGGAAAUUAGCUCUCUGUGUGACGUUCAGCAACUGUGGCUCUCUCUGGCCUCAGCCUCCAGUCUGGACGUUGGCAGUAACCGUUGUGGUUUGGAUCAAGAAUGUCCCCCCAAGAGCCUACCGUGGCAGAGCUGACUGGACCGUGGGUGCGUGUGUCUCACCCCUGGCUGAAUCCAUCGCUGAAAAUGCAAGUGAAUGCGCUGUUAGGAGGGGAAGGAAGGAGGCACCGGUGCCCUGGAAGGGUGUCUUCCGGUCCCCAGCCCCUUCCUCUCUCUCUGGCUCUUUCCCUUUCCUGUUUCCUGGCCACCGUAGGGUGAGCUGCUCUCCUCUGCCCGGCCCUUCUGCUGUGCUGCUUCUGCCUUGACGCCAGCUGACCAUGGACGGAACCUCUGAAACCGUGAGCCAGAAUGAACCUGUCCUCCUGAGGAGCCAGGCACUGUGUGUCCCAGUGACGGAAAGGCGGACCCUUGGCAGAUGCACUCAACUCAACUCGUUCCCAAGGGCCGGUUAUAACUCAGGUUGGUCCACUGAAGGCUCAGGCUCCUCCACACAGCCUUCAAAGUCUUCCCCUGUACACAGGCAGAUCUUAGAGAGUCACUGGCCCCAGGAUCUCUCAACCCCACACAGGAAAGGAUGUGGUAAUUAACGCUCCUUCCAGAACGCUUUUGGGGUUAAAUCUGCAUCGGAGACCAUCUGGAAGCACAAGCUGCUGACAUUCAGGUCGUAACCCAAGACUUUGGUCCUAAGUUACAACUAAAAUUCCGGUCAUAACCCAGGUUGUUUGUAUGUCGGGCCGGUCGUAACUUGAGGGUUCAUUGUAAUGCGAUUACCACAGGGGCCCCCACCUCACAGGGACUGUGCUGCCGGAAUGAGAUGGGGCUGGCAGAGGGCUCCACACGUCGCCCGGCCUGGGCACCAACUGGGCAGCAGACGCUCUUGGUACUGAUCCGCCUGGCAGCCAUGCCAAGGCCAUGGCGU